UUGGACCUACGGGGGGCAGCAGUGGGGGAUAUUGCACAAUGGGGGAAACCCCGAUGCAGCGACGCCGCGUGGGUGAAGAAGCGCCUCGGCGCGUAAGGCCCUGUCAGCAGGGAAGAAAAUGACGGUACCUGAAGAAGAAGCCCCGGCUAACUACGUGCCAGCAGCCGCGGUAAUACGUAGGGGGCAAGCGUUAUCCGGAUUUACUGGGUGUAAAGGGGGCGCAGACGGCGAUGCGAGCCAGGAGUGAAAGCCCGGGGCCCAACCCCGGGACUGCUCUUGGAACUGCGUGGCUAGAGUGCAGGAGG
rnacentral:rRNA from 1 species